rnacentral:misc_RNA from 1 species
GAUGAAGAACGCAGUGAAAUGCGAUAAGUAAUGUGAAUUGCAGAAUUCAGUGAAUCAUCGAAUCUUUGAACGCACAUUGCGCCCCUUGGUAUUCCGAGGGGCAUGCCUGUUCGAGCGUCAUUAUAACCCUCAAGCUCAGCUUGGUGUUGGGGCCUGCUGCAGUGGCAGCCCUUAAAAUCAGUGGCGGCGCCAUCUGGCUCUAAGCGUAGUAAUUCUUCUCGCUAUGGAGUCCUGGUGGAUGCUUGCCAUCAACCCCCAAUUUUUCUAUGGUUGACCUCGGAUCAGGUAGGGAUACCCGCUGAACUUAAGCAUAUCAAUAAGCGGAGA